rnacentral:misc_RNA from 1 species
AAGUCGUAACAAGGUUUCCGUAGGUGAACCUGCGGAAGGAUCAUUAUUGAAUGAACUUGGUCGGGCUGAUGCUGGUCUCUCCUUGGAGGGGCAUGUGCACGCCUGGCACCAUCUUCUUUUACCACCUGUGCACCUUUUGUAGACUGUGGGGACUACCUUUCCGAGGUCAAACUCGGUUGAAAGGAUUGCUGAUGCCAGCUUUCCUUUGCCUGUCUUCUUGUCUAUGCCUUUUUUUUUUUAUCACAAAUGUAUGACAAUGAAUGUUAUGUUGGGCAUUAUUGCCUUUAAAAACCUAAUACAACUUUCAACAACGGAUCUCUUGGCUCUCGCAUCGAUGAAGAACGCAGCGAAAUGCGAUAAGUAAUGUGAAUUGCAGAAUUCAGUGAAUCAUCGAAUCUUUGAACGCACCUUGCACCCUUUGGUAUUCCGAAGGGUAUGCCUGUUUGAGUGUCAUUAUAUUCUCAACCAUUGAACUUGUUUCUUUGGCUUGGAUGUGGGGGUUGCGGGCUUCGCAAGAGGUCGGCUCUCCUUAAAUGCAUUAGUGGAAACCGCUUGCAGGAUUCAUUCACUUUUUGGCGUGAUAGUAUCGUCGUCAAAGGCUUAUGUCUCCGAGGUGUCUGCUCUCUAACCGUCCGUAAAGGACUCUUAAUGACUUGUUUGACCUCAAAUCAGGUAGGACUACCCGCUGAACUUAAGCAUAUCAAUAAGCGGAGGAAAAGAAACUAACAAGGAUUCCCCUAGUAACUGCGAGUGAAGAGGGAAAAGCUCAAAUUUAAAAUCUG